rnacentral:misc_RNA from 1 species
AAGGAUCAUUAACGAAUAGAACAAAGCCCCACGGGCUGAUGCUGGCUCCUCGGAGCACGUGCACGCCCGGGGGCGACUUCAUUCGCCCUUACCCCCCUUGUGCACUCCAUGUAGGUCGCCGGUGGCCCCUCGGGCCUCGACGCCUACGAAUUCGUCUUUGUACGCACCCCGAUCGCAUGUCUUAAGAGUAACAAUUACAAUGUGAUAACACAAAAUACAACUUUCAACAACGGAUCUCUUGGCUCUC